AUACAGAGGGUGCAAACGUUGUUCGGAAUUACUGGGCAUAAAGCGCACGUAGGCGGUCUAGUAAGUGUGAAGUGAAAUCCCACGGCUCACCCGUGGAACUGCUUUGCAUACUGCUAGACUCGAGGAAGGUAGGGGAGAGCAGAACUCUUGGAGGAGCGGUGAAAUGCGUAGAUAUCAAGAGGAAUACCAGUGGCGAAGGCGGCUCUCUGGUCCUUUUCUGACGCUGAGGUGCGAAAGCUAGGGUAGCGAACGGGAUUAGAAACCCCAGUAGUCC
rnacentral:rRNA from 1 species